rnacentral:lncRNA from 1 species
AGAGCCCUAGUGAAAUUUCCAAUUAUAUCAAAAAUGUGAUUCAUGACUGUUUGGAACUUGAUCCUCAUAUUAUUAAUAUGAGAUUGAUUCUUACAAUAACAAAUAAUAUUAAUAAUAUUAAUGAUGUCUGCAAGCACAAUCUCUUUACAUUAUUGAGACCAACCACAAUUACAUAAAUUAAGAAUGAUAUCAAUAUCUUAGUUGACUUGCAUUUUCAUAAUAGAACAAAACCAAUGUCAUAGCUGCUUAACAAACAUGAAAUCAGGAAAAAUAUGACGACUAGCAUCAUAUUUAGUAACACAUAAUAACAUUUUGUAGGAAAUUUGUAGACCCUUGCCAUAAGAUUUUUAUCAAUAGG